AGAGUUGGCGCAGGUGGUUGCGGAUUUGCUUCUUUGAGUAAAUCUGAGGAAAGUCCGGACUCCCGAAAGACCAAACUUGCUGGGUAAUGCCCAGUGCAGGCGACUGUGAGGAUAGUGCCACAGAAACAUACCGCCAAUUAGUUAUUAGUCAUUAGUCAUGGGUUAUUUGUAAAGCACAACGGACAAAUGACGAAGGACAAAUCACUAAUUUGGUAAGGGUGCAAAGGUGCGGUAAGAGCGCACCAGCAGUAUCGAGAGGUACUGGCUCGGUAAACCCCGGUUGGGAGCAAGGUCGAAGGAACUACGGUUGGUCUUUUACCCGUUCCGCUAUUGUAGAGCCGCUUGAGGCGUUUGGUAACAAACGUCCCAGAUAGAUAACUACCCUCUUAGUUGGUGACAGCUAGGAGAACAGAAUCCGGCUUAUGUCCAACUCUCUCC
rnacentral:RNase_P_RNA from 4 species